GGUUUUUAGGCGAGGUGGUGCGAUUUGGCAUUAUCGAACCUGAGAGUCAGCAACGAGGGAG
rnacentral:rRNA from 1 species